GCGCACGGGUGCGUAACGCGUAUGCAACCUACCUUUUACAGGGGAAUAGCCCGGGGAAACUCGGAUUAAUACCCCAUGGUAUCAUAAUACCGCAUGGUAUAAUGAUUAAAGAUUUAUCGGUAAAAGAUGGGCAUGCGUCUGAUUAGUUAGAUGGUGAGGUAACGGCUCACCAUGGCAAUGAUCAGUAGGGGUUCUGAGAGGAUGAUCCCCCACACUGGUACUGAGACACGGACCAGACUCCUACGGGAGGCAGCAGUAGGGAAUAUUGGACAAUGGGCGAGAGCCUGAUCCAGCCAUGCCGCGUGUAGGAUGACGGCCUUCUGGGUUGUAAACUACUUUUCUACAGGAAGAAAAAGGCUAUGCGUAGCCAAUUGACGGUACUGUAGGAAUAAGCACCGGCUAACUCCGUGCCAGCAGCCGCGGUAAUACGGAGGGUGCAAGCGUUGUCCGGAUUUAUUGGGUUUAAAGGGUGCGUAGGCGGCUAUUUAAGUCAGUGGUGAAAUCCUUCCGCUUAACGGGAGAACUGCCAUUGAAAC
rnacentral:rRNA from 1 species